CAGAAAGAAUCUCCAUCAAAAGAACACCAGGAAUUUCCUCAAGAAUUAGCAGCGCUUCAUGAAGAUGGUGAUUUACUUGGAAAUAUUUCUGAUCAGCUACAGAAGGCAGAAGCAGUCCUUCACAGGAAACAUGAGAAAGAAUUACAAGGGAUCAGAGAGGAGCACAAGACGGAACUUACACAACUUAAAGAAGACCUAUGUUCAAUUCAUAGUGCAGAGAAAAAACAGCUCCAGCAGAUACAUGCUGAGGAUGUUGACAAACUGAAACAGGAACUGCAAAAGAAAGAAGCAGCACAGUCAGAGUCCAGAAUAGAGGAACUGAAAGCCAGCCACUCUGAAUACGUCAAGGUUCUCCGAGAGGAAUGUGAGGCUGCAAUAGCAGGGCUCAUAAAACUACAUAAACAGGAGCAGAAAUCAUUGACUGAAUCCUUUACAAAAACUAUCACAUGUCUUCAGGAAAGAAUAGAAGAGCUUUCUGCCCAAGUCAACACAUUUCAAAAGAAGACAAAGAAAAUUGAGGAUGCAAUAUUAAGAAGAGAUCUCAGCAAAGACAAUCAGGUAUUUAAAAUUUUAACCAUGUGAGUUCAACAAGUCUGACUAGAUCUAACUGUUCAUCAUGGCAGUCGAUUAGCUCAGUUGGCUGGAUGGUUGGUUUGCAGAAUGUGAACAGUGUGGUUCAAUUCCUGCACUGGCUGAGCUUACAAUUUAGGAAUCA